UACGGGGGGGGCAAGCGUUGUUCGGAAUUACUGGGCGUAAAGGGUUCGUAGGUGCCAACUAAGUCAGACGUGAAAUCCCUCAGCUUAACUGGGGGAACUGCGUCUGAUACUGGUUGGCUUGAGUGCAGGAGAGGAACGCGGAAUUCCAGGUGUAGCGGUGAAAUGCGUAGAUAUCUGGGAGGAACACCGGUGGCGAAGGCGGCGUUCUGGCUGCAACUGACACUGGAGGAACGAAAGCCAGGGUAGCAAACGGG
rnacentral:rRNA from 1 species